GACGAACGCUGGCGGCGUGCUUAACACAUGCAAGUCGAACGAAGAGCGACGGAAGCUUGCUUCUAUCACUCUUAGUGGCGAACGGGUGAGUAACGCGUAAUCAACCUGCCCUUCGGAGGGGGACAACAGUUGGAAACGACUGCUAAUACCGCAUACGAUCUAACCUCGGCAUCGAGGAUAGAUGAAAGGUGGCCUCUACAUGUAAGCUAUCACUGAAGGAGGGGUUUGCGUCUGAUUAGCUAGUUGGAGGGGUAACGGCCCACCCAGGCGAUGAUCAGUAGGCGGUCUGAGAGGAUGAACGGCCACAUUGGGACUGAGACACGGCCCAGACUCCUACGGGAGGCAGCAGGGGGGAAUCUUCCGCAAUGGACGAAAGUCUGACGGAGCAACGCCGCGUGAGUGAUGACGGCCUUCGGGUUGUAAAGCUCCGUUAAUCGGGACGAAAGGCCUUCUUGCGAAUAGUGAGAAGGAUUGACGGUACCGGAAUAGAAAGCCACGGCUAACUACGUG
rnacentral:rRNA from 1 species